rnacentral:rRNA from 1 species
AUUGAACGCUGGCGGCAGGCCUAACACAUGCAAGUCGAACGGUAGCACAGAGGAGCUUGCUCCUCGGGUGACGAGUGGCGGACGGGUGAGUAAUGUCUGGGGAUCUGCCCGAUAGAGGGGGAUAACCACUGGAAACGGUGGCUAAUACCGCAUAACGUCGCAAGACCAAAGAGGGGGACCUUCGGGCCUCUCACUAUCGGAUGAACCCAGAAGGGAUUAGCUAGUAGGCGGGGUAACGGCCCACCUAGGCGACGACCCCUAGCUGGUCUGAGAGGAUGACCAGCCACACUGGAACUGAGCCACGGUCCAGACUCCUACGGGAGGCAGCAGUGGGGAAUAUUGCACAAUGGGCGCAAGCCUGAUGCAGCCAUGCCGCGUGUAUGAAGAAGGCCUUCGGGUUGUAAAGUACUUUCAGCGGGGAGGAAGGCGAUGUGGUUAAUAACCGCGUCGAUUGACGUUACCCGCAGAAGAAGCACCGGCUAACUCCGUGCCAGCCGCCGCGGUAA